GACGAACGCUGGCGGCGUGCUUAACACAUGCAAGUCGAACGGAAAGGCCCUGCUUUUGUGGGGUGCUCGAGUGGCGAACGGGCGAGUAACACGUGAGUAACCUGCCCUUGACUUUGGGAUAACUUCAGGAAACUGGGGCUAAUACCGGAUAGGAGCUCCUGCUGCAUGGUGGGGGUUGGAAAGUUUCGGCGGUUGGGGACGGACUCGCGGCUUAUCAGCUUGUUGGUGGGGUAGUGGCUUACCAAGGCUUUGACGGGUAGCCGGCCUGAGAGGGUGACCGGCCACAUUGGGACUGAGAUACGGCCCAGACUCCUACGGGAGGCAGCAGUGGGGAAUAUUGCACAAUGGGCGGAAGCCUGAUGCAGCAACGCCGCGUGCGGGAUGACGGCCUUCGGGUUGUAAACCGCUUUCGCCUGUGACGAAGCGUGAGUGACGGUAAUGGGUAAAGAAGCACCGGCUAACUACGUG
rnacentral:rRNA from 1 species